rnacentral:rRNA from 1 species
CACGUAGGAGGCAAACGUUAUCCGGAUUUACUGAGCGUAAAGCGCGUGUAGGCGGUUUUUUAAGUCUGAUGUGAAAGCCCUGGGCUCAACCCGGGAAGUGCAUUGGAAACUGGGAGACUUGAAUACGGGAGAGGGCAGUGGAAUUCCUGGUGUAGGAGUGAAAUCCGUAGAUAUCAGGAGGAACACCGGUGGCGAAGGCGGCUGCCUGGACCGAUAUUGACGCUGAGACGCGAAAGCGUGGGGAGCAAACAGG